rnacentral:tmRNA from 1 species
ACGCUUUUUUUUGAGCACAAUGCCCCCUAUAUUGGGUGUGCCGGAUUCGUCCGGCUAUGGCGAUAAACGCGGUCGUAAUAAGCGGUUCGGACCCGGGGGCGGUACCCGGCGCCUCCACCACUUUCUUUUGCGCGCUUGGCGGCCGGCUCCCCGAAGGGGAGUCGCCAAGCGCAACAGGAAUGGGGGCGAACUAGGAUCGACGAACGUGUAAAGGACUUAGCUUUUGCCCGGCAUGAUACCACCGUCAUCGGGUCAUACAGAGUAGUUGCAAAUGACAACUAUGCUGAGGUUGCUCUCGCUGCUUAAUGCGGUGCGAGUUGCCUGAACCUAAGUCCUUGCCCCUAGCCGGGUAAGGCGCGGUCCGGAGGGCACCGGUCAACAGAAGCCCUCCACU